rnacentral:rRNA from 1 species
GGGGAAUAUUGGACAAUGGGGGCAACCCUGAUCCAGCAAUGCCGCGUGUGUGAAGAAGGUCUUCGGAUUGUAAAGCACUUUCGACGGGGACGAUGAUGACGGUACCCGUAGAAGAAGCCCCGGCUAACUUCGUGCCAGCAGCCGCGGUAAUACGAAGGGGGCUAGCGUUGCUCGGAAUGACUGGGCGUAAAGGGCGUGUAGGCGGUUUACACAGUCAGAUGUGAAAUCCCCGGGCUUAACCUGGGAGCUGCAUUUGAUACGUGUAGACUAGAGUGUGAGAGAGGGUUGUGGAAUUCCCAGUGUAGAGGUGAAAUUCGUAGAUAUUGGGAAGAACACCGGUGGCGAAG